GUUGAGUGAUACGUGUGUUAUUCGAUGUUAAUAACUAGAGGAGGCUAGAUUGAGCAGGAGGGAACAGAAUAUCUAGGAGGUAAAAUGCUCUCUUGGGGAGAAACUAUUUAUCAAGGGUUCACUAACCUGGUUGCUGAAAUUGUUAUGGUGCCAUGUGAUCCCAGGCGCCCGCCAAUCUAAACUGUUAGUAAACGCUUUAAACCCAAUGUCUUCUGUUCGAUACAGGUCAGUUCUGUUCCCAAACUUCAGCUUGCAGCCUGAGACUUCAGUCAGUACACUUCUUACUCUAUUUUGUUAAAGGGGAGCUGAGUCAGUCAGUGGCAUCCCUGUCCAAGGUUUCCUGAUUGAAACCUCGAACUGAAACAGAAGUUUGCGGGCAGAGCUGACAGUGCAGGACUUUGGGG